rnacentral:rRNA from 1 species
CAGAUUGAACGCUGGCGGCAUGCCUUACACAUGCAAGUCGAACGGCAGCACGGGAGCAAUCCUGGUGGCGAGUGGCGAACGGGUGAGUAAUACAUCGGAACAUGUCCAGUAGUGGGGGAUAGCCCGGCGAAAGCCGGAUUAAUACCGCAUACGAUCUGUGGAUGAAAGCGGGGGAUCGCAAGACCUCGCGCUAUUGGGGUGGCCGAUGGCGGAUUAGCUGGUUGGUGGGGUAAAGGCCUACCAAGGCGACGAUCCGUAGCUGGUCUGAGAGGACGACCAGCCACACUGGGACUGAGACACGGCCCAGACUCCUACGGGAGGCAGCAGUGGGGAAUUUUGGACAAUGGGGGCAACCCUGAUCCAGCAAUGCCGCGUGUGUGAAGAAGGCCUUCGGGUUGUAAAGCACUUUUGUCCGGGAAGAAAUCCCCUGCCCUAAUACGGCGGGGGGAUGACGGUACCGGAAGAAUAAGCACCGGCUAACUACGUGCCAGCAGCCGCGGUAAUACGUAGGGUGCGAGCGUUAAUCGGAAUUACUG